rnacentral:ncRNA from 1 species
AAAAAAACAUUGAUAGGAAUCAAGUAAAUAUAUGGUAUUCAAAGCGAGUGAAUGUUGGUGAAAAUUCAUAAUGUCUAUAUAUUGAAAACUCAUCCUAGAGUUACAGGCUGAAACUAUAGUAAGCUGUGUCGGUUUAAAAAGCCGUUAUCUUGUAAGAAAAAAUUUGGAUGGUACCGCGGUAUUGUUUCUCGCUCCAAGA